rnacentral:rRNA from 1 species
AGAGUUUGAUCCUGGCUCAGAUCGAACGCUGGCGGAAUGCUUUACACAUGCAAGUCGAACGGCAGCACGGGAGCUUGCUCCUGGUGGCGAGUGGCGAACGGGUGAGUAACAUAUCGGAACAUAUCCUAUCGUGGGGGAUAACUAGUCGAAAGACUAGCUAAUACCGCAUACGUCCUGAGGGAGAAAGCGGGGGCUCGCAAGACCUCGCGCGAUUGGAGUGGCCGAUAUCUGAUUAGCUAGAUGGUGAGGUAAAAGCUCACCAUGGCGACGAUCAGUAGCUGGUCUGAGAGGAUGAUCAGCCACACUGGGACUGAGACACGGCCCAGACUCCUACGGGAGGCAGCAGUGGGGAAUUUUGGACAAUGGGCGAAAGCCUGAUCCAGCCAUUCCGCGUGAGUGAAGAAGGCCUUCGGGUUGUAAACUGCUUUUGUACGGAACGAAAAGGUCUGCCCUAAUACGGC